AGAGUUUGAUCCUGGCUCAGAUUGAACGCUGGCGGCAGGCCUAACACAUGCAAGUCGGGCGGUAACAGGGAGAAGCUUGCUUCUCCGCUGACGAGCGGCGGACGGGUGAGUAAUGUAUGGGGAUCUGCCUGAUGGCGGGGGAUAACUACUGGAAACGGUAGCUAAUACCGCAUAAUGUCUACGGACCAAAGCGGGGGACCUCCGGGCCUCGCGCCAUCAGAUGAACCCAUAUGGGAUUAGCUUGUAGGUAAGGUAACGGCUUACCUAGGCGACGAUCCCUAGCUGGUCUGAGAGGAUGAUCAGCCACACUGGGACUGAGACACGGCCCAGACUCCUACGGGAGGCAGCAGUGGGGAAUAUUGCACAAUGGGCGCAAGCCUGAUGCAGCCAUGCCGCGUGUAUGAAGAAGGCCUUCGGGUUGUAAAGUACUUUCAGUCGGGAGGAAGGUGUCAAGGUUAAUAACCUUGGCAAUUGACGUUACCGACAGAAGAAGCACCGGCUAACUCCGUGCCAGCCGCCGCGGUAAUUC
rnacentral:rRNA from 1 species